AUGGAGCUGCAGCUUGCCUUCGUCCAUGACUAUUUCAACACCCGCUACCCCAUGGUGUUCUGGUGUGGGCGCCUGUCUCUGUUCAUCACUCUGUUUCUGUCCGUGCUGACAAUCGGUGCUGUCUGCUGGCUUGCUGUGGAUAUCCGUAGGAUCUAUAAGCCCCCAGAUGGCGAGCUUGCCAAUCUGGUCAAGGGCUUUAAUAUUGACAUGCUCAUUACAUGGGCAUUCAUUUUGCUGAUGAUUGCCAAGGAGGUCUGGGAGAUGGUGACCUACUUACUCUCCGACUGGACAAGCUUAAUCCUGGUGUGCGAGUAUGUGCAGAGGAAGUGCAAGAGGAUCAGAGGAUCUAUAGACACAAGGAUGGAUCGCAUAUUAUUAUGGUUUUCCAGAGCUAAGAUUACUAAUAAGAGGUGGCAUGGACAUCUUGACCAGUAUGUCUUCCUGCAGUCGUAUGAGGACAGACCAAGAUUUUGGAAUUUUGUUCACAACCUAACUACCGGAAUAAUUCCAAAGAAAGACGACGGGGCAAAGCUCAGUAGUGCCAUCACAGUUCCCGAGUGUGUCAAGAAGGCAGUUCUGGAGAAGCUCAGCAUAAUGGUGGAGGAAAAAAAAGAUUGUAGUCUGCCCAAGGACCAAGAUUGUAGUCUGCCCAAGGACCAAGAUUGUAGUUUGCCCAAGGAAAAACAAGAUUCUAAUCUUCCCAUGGACCUCAAGGCAUUGUCCAACAGCAACCUUAGCGAGCAGUUGCAGAACUACAAGUCUUACACCACACCACCGAUGAGCACCGACAUCGUCCUGCCGACAAGCUCUCACAUCAUUCUUGCGUGGCACAUCGCGACCAGCCUCUGCGAAAUGGAGCUUGCGAAUAAUCACGGUGUCAACUUGAGCAAACCUGGGUUUCCGCGCUCGCUGUUGUGUUGGUUGACUUCUUGCUGCUCCUCCAAACCUUAUCUUAUGGAUUUGGGUGAGAAGAAAGAUGGUAUCUUGUCAUGGUUCACAAAUAGCUGCUCAUCAAAGUCAAAUGGGAAGUUGCCUGACGAGCUUCGGGAGUCAUACACCAUUGCAAAUAGCUUAUCGCGGUACUGUGCAUAUCUGCUGGUUGCAAAGCCUGACCUGACCCCUGAUAGUUUUCUUGUUCCCAAGAUAGUCUUCCAGAAAACCGUCAAGAGUGCUCGUGACGGCAUCCUGAAAAAUUGUGAUUCACUAGAGAGCAGGCGCAUAAAACUGAAUGAAGCAGACGAGCCUAUCGAAAACUCCGAAGAAGAAGAUGUAUUGAAACAGGGUGCAGCACUGGGCAAGGAACUGCUCAAAAUUCCAACUGAUGGAAUUCGUUGGAAGAUCCUGGAAGAGGUAUGGACUGAGUUACUUAUACACAUUGCGCCCACGCGGAAUGCACACGCGCACAGGAAGUGUCUCUCUGGAGGGGAGUUCAUAACCCACAUAUGGGCAUCGCUUUGGCACUAUGGCAUUCAGAAGAGUAGCUUGUGGCCAAAUGAAGUUGCACUAGCAAACCGUGCCCCUGCAGCGCCUGAGAAUGAUGGUGUCCGAAAUGCAAACAAUAUGGACAAAACAGUGCAAGUUUGUGCAGACGGAAGUGCCGAGCAGACUGGCGCUAAUGUUCGUGAACCGGAUGAGAUCAUGGGAACCCAGGAGCAUAAGACAAGAAACUCUAGGAGAGUGCAAACAAGAAUGGAGAGAACAGAGAGUUCAGAAAUCGAGGAGGGGUCAACCGAUGCCAUAGCGGAGGACAGAAAUUUUCAGAGAGGAAUGGCUGGUCAAACCCAAAAGCAGGAGUGA
rnacentral:rRNA from 1 species